rnacentral:rRNA from 1 species
UCUAAUACCGGAUAUGACCACCGGCCGCAUGGUCUGGUGGUGGAAAGCUCCGGCGGUGCAGGAUGAGCCCGCGGCCUAUCAGCUUGUUGGUGGGGUGAUGGCCUACCAAGGCGACGACGGG